UAUGGUGAAGUGCGUGAUGUAUAAAUGGGGCGAAACAACUUGCUCACUUUUAAGGUCAGAGCGAGUCCUUAACAUAGCCAAGGGUUUGUAUUUCGGUAGUAGGUUUCGAGUGCUUACCACACUCGAGCACGGUUUUGUGCAAAUUUUGCGUAUUUGUGGCUACGCAUUUGGUCGGUAUGGGGUUCAUACCCAGCAGUUACCAUUUUUGAGGGGCUGUUUUAAAUUGGGUUCUUGCUUUUUUGGACAUAUCGACCGCGGUACCCCUUUUGGUUUGGUACCUUUUGUUUAUCGUGUUGACGAUCCAAUGAGCCAUUUUUGAAGGCAUUGGAACGGCACUCGGUGUCUCCGCCACCUUUUACAUGCCUGCUACCGCAAUGCAACUCAGCCAAAUGGUUGAAAUUUUUUCGAUUUAGUAUUUAUGGUUUUAGAGUUUAGGGGAGUUAUCCUUGGACGCACGACCCCUCGUCUUGUACCAGUCGUCGUGCCGCCAAGGACGACAAACCACUCACCUGCUAUAUACCUCGUUUUUGUUUAGGUAUACCAUUUUUUUGUUUUGGUUUUUGAUUCCGGAGAGUUGGGGGGACAGGUGUGCCUCACCAACUCAAAGGGCCGUUUUGGAUUUUUUGGGUUUAAUUUGAUGAUUGUUGUCUACCUGAAGGGUUGGGACAGGCCUUAGUGUCCUCAACCGGUAGGGUUACAAAAAAAGGUUUUCGUUGAAGGCUUAUAGUUAGGGGACUAUUAUGGGUCUCAUUUUCGCCCGGUCUAGCUGAGUUUUAUUUUAGGAAUGCUGAACAUCGGUCCUGGCGGUUGGUUUUUGGCUUUCUCAGCACAACAAGCUUUUGUCGCGUUGUACUGAGAAGGCCAACGGUUUGUUUACGGGUUGGAAGGAUAGACUGAGGUUUUUUUCUAUGUGCAGCGCAGUUGGCCGCAUAGUUUUUUUUUCACCUUCCGUGGUACUGACGUGGGUUCGAGAUUAUUAUUUAGAUUUUUUUUGUUCGGUCAGAACAGCAGUAUUUUUAAAUUGUUUAACGUUAGUAUGAUUUUACUUUUAGAUUAUUUUAGAGCAUUUUUGGUAUGUUUUGAAUCUCGAAGUUGCGUCAGACUUUUUGUUUAGAUUCUAGGUUUUCUAGAUCAGUUUGAAUAGGUUAGUUUUCUUGCCUUCACUUUGUUUUAAAUUUUGUUUUAGGAUGAAAGUCGCUGAGGACAGCGAGCGGUUCACCUACGUUGAACCUUAAAAUCGGGGAGGGGGGUAUUGUAACGUAGACAUUUUCUUAGAUUUUAAAUUAAUAUUUUUGGGUUGAAUUCCUUUUCUUAUUUCAACGAUUUUAACAAUAUCCCAAACUAACUCGAUUGAUUGCACUUCUUUGCAUAAUCUGUUGCAUUCAGAUGCACCUUUUGAUGCUUAUCUGUUGUCGGGGUUGUCAUAUGAGUAAAAAUAAUUAAAACUUGAGAUAUUUAUGUUGUCACUCCAGGAAAACUUUGUAUGAUUUAGGUAUGAUUUUUAUAGAUAGAAAAUAAGUUUGAUGUAAAACAAAACAUAUAAAUUACAGACUUACAAAGUGGCUCUGAAAUGAAACCUUAUUAGAUUUAAUGAUAAAAAUAUAUUUCUUAGGCUCAUGAGUGAAUUUGUCUAAAUAAUCAGUUCAGAAUUUUCGAAGAAUUUGUGUCUUCAGGGGAUUGGCACCCUACUUUUGUUUUUUUGCCUUUUGUUCUCAACAUAUGAGAAGGUCAUUCUGAGGUGACAUGCACUUUUGAUGUGUGGACCCCUCCGGGGACGCACGCUCGCAUGAGCCCUAUUUUGUGAUAAGACCACACAUUCCACAUGGUGGUCAAAAUGGUGGAAGCAGUUCGAGUCCUUCGGUGUGUUCCACUGAGUAAGUAUAAAUGGAAUUUAGUUGUGAUCAAUUCCACAAUGGCGCGAAACAUUGUGGGUUUGUUCUUAACCAAGUUUUGGUUCUUUACAGAGUUGACUCCUGCUCGAGGGAAGGGAGCGCUCCGCCAGAAGUCCUAACAGCUUCCAGUGCGGAGCCGGGAUGUUUCUAGAUGUUUCUAGAAGCUUUUGAUGUUUAUAGAAGUUUCAAGAUGUUUCGAAUUUGAAGUUUUAAAAUGAUGCUGUGGGAUCUGUCCCACGUCAUCUGCACUGGCCGGCUCCAACCAGGUUAGCAGUCAGCUUCCCGGGGAUAGGCGAGGUCACUCCCCGCCGCUCCAGGUCCGGUAGCAGUUUUUGAGGUCGGUCUGAUGCAUCUUUAAUUUUUAAAUUGCGUCUGCGCUCGGCUACAAAUUUAAAAUGUGAUUUAGAGCAAUAGUUAUUUUAAUUUAAAGUUUUGAAAGUUCUGGUGCAUAAAACUUAGGUAUUUCGAAAUUUAGUCUUUAGUAAUUAAUUAAUUGGUGUAAACCUUAUGACAUGAACCUGUGAAGCGACCCAGCUAUACCACUGAGCUUUUACACUAUAACUUUAGGUUAAUAAAGUUUGUUAGAUUUAAA